rnacentral:rRNA from 1 species
AGAGUUUGAUCCUGGCUCAGAACGAACGCUGGCGGCGUGCCUAACACAUGCAAGUCGUACGAGAAAUCCUGAGCAAUCGGGAGAGUAAAGUGGCGCACGGGUGAGUAACGCGUGGGUAACCUGCCCUUAAAUUUGGGAUAACUUCGCGAAAGCGGGGUUAAUACCGGAUAAUAUUCCAAUGCCUUUGGGGAUUGGAAUCAAAGAUGGCCUCUGCAUGCAAGCUAUCGUUUAAGGAUGGGCCCGCGUACCAUUAGCUUGUUGGUAGGGUAAUAGCCUACCAAGGCAACGAUGGGUAGCUGGCCUGAGAGGGUAACCAGCCACAUAGGGACUGAGACACGGCCCUAACUCCUACGGGAGGCAGCAGUUUAGAAAUUUGGGCAAUGGAGGAAACUCUGACCCAGCGACACUGCGUGAAGGAUGAAGGUCUUCGGAUUGUAAACUUCUGUUAUAGGGGACGAUAAUGACGGUACUCUAUAAGAAAGCCCUGGCUAAUUCCGUGCCAGCAGCCGCGGUAACACGGAAGGGGCAAGCGUUGUCCGGAUUUACUGGGUGUAAAGGGAAUGUAGGCGACUCAAUAAGUUGGAUGUUAAAGUUCUCUGCUCAACGGAGAAAGUGCAUCCAAAACUAUUGGGAUUGAGCAUAAGAGGAGAAAGUGGAAUUCCUGGUGUAGCGGUGGAAUGCGUGGAUAUCAGGAGGAACACUCGUGGCGAAGGCGGCUUUCUAUCUUAUUGCUGACGCUGAGGUUCGAAAGCUAGGGGAGCAAACAGGAUUAGAUACCCUGGUAGUCC